rnacentral:tRNA from 1 species
GGGUCCUUAGCUCAGCGGUCAGAGCAGGCGACUCAUAAUCGCUCGGUCGUGGGUUCAAAUCCCACAGGGCCCAC